rnacentral:tRNA from 1 species
GGAGAGUUGCCGGAGCGGUUGAACGGGACGGUCUCGAAAACCGUUGUACUCAUUAGGGUACCCAGGGUUCAAAUCCCUGACUCUCCGCCA